AAAUUUGAAAUGUAAUUUAUAUUUUGGAUUUAAAAAAUAAAUUCAAAGUAAGAUUUUAAAUUUAAAAUUAUAAUUAAAAUUUAGAUUUUGAAUUCAAAUUUGAUUUUCGAGCGAAUAUUGAUUACAAAUAUCAAAACUGAAUUGAAAAUUUGAAAUCAAAAUUCUAAUUCAAUUUCAAAGUCAAAUUCAAAAUCUGAAUUCCAAUUCAAAUUCUCAUUUAGCUUUACAUCAAAAAAUAUAGAUUUAAAUUCAAAUUCAAAAUUUUAAUUUUUGAUUUUCUAAUUUAAAAUUAAAAUUUAAUUUUAAUUCAUAAUUUGAAUUCAAAUUCUAACUUAUAUUCAAAUUUUGAGUUCCAAUCCAAACACAAUUAAUCCCAAAAAAGGUAGAGGACCAAUAGUGUAAUUAAUGAAGAAAGCCACGUAGGCAAUAGGCCAUGUUUGGAUGCAUAGUUAAAAAACUCUAUAAAAUCUUUAUUCUUCAGUUUUGGUUUAAAUAAAAUACGAAAUCCUGUGACUGCAAAAAAAUCCCAUGGCUUCAUUUCUAAGUUAUUUGGAUAUAUAUCGUACAAUUCUGCAGAAGUUAUAACAAUUAAAGUUCUAAAAUUUAAAAUUUAAAAUUUAAAAUUUAAAAUUUAAAAAUAAAUUUUAAAAAAUUUAAAAUUAUGUCACGCCUCGUGGCCUAAUUAAUAAAAGCUUUAGUAUAAAACAAUACCGUUUUAUAAAUCAGAAUUGUGAUUUUUUUUUUUUAUAGUCUGGCCCACAUGACGUAUAGACUCGUCAUAAAUAUAAAUUUCCUUAGCUUACACGGAUAGAGUCUUUUUUGUAUUUGUAUGGCGUGCCGAUCAAACAACGUACACAGGAUCACAAUUCACAACCUACAUUCACCAAAUCCACAGACAAUCCAUGCGAUGUAUUUCUAUAGAGCUAACCAUCCUUAAAAAUGAUGUAUUCCUUUAAGCACUUAUUAGGCGCUGAAUGAUGCGAUACAUAAUAUAACAAUCAUCCUAUUUAAAAGUGCUUCCUACCCGAAAUCUUUGUUUUUAAACUCCAAUUAUUCAUCCAUUAAAAAUCAUUCAAAAUCCUUUUAAAACUGUUUUCCAUACGGAAACUCAAUCUUUGAAAACCAGCUACCUCGAGGGGUAGAGAACCACAUGGCAUGAUUCCAUAAAUCAAUAUACUGAAAUCCAGAAUAAUCCCGA
rnacentral:lncRNA from 1 species